UAAAUAUAAUAUCAAGAAAUUUAACAGGCCAGGCCACAGAGCAGGCUACAGGGCAGGCUACAGGGCAGGCUACUAGGACUCCUCCAACACCCAGUGAGAGGGUCCAGCAUGAGUUAAGAAGACAAUUUCCCGGUUUCUAUCGUGGGGCACAAAGAAACAAGAAAAGGCCUGAAAUAUUUCUGUAGUAUCAGAGAAACUCAGUAGGAUUUUGAAGAAACACAACAUCCCUGUGUUUUUUAAACCCAAGAACACACUAAGACAGAUGAUGGUCUACCCAAAGACCGCACAGUUGGGGAAACUAAACCACCACUUCACAGACGCAUGGCUCAACACAGAAGGGCCAACUCCUCAGGUCAAGACUCAACAGUUUACCUACAUCUGAAGGACAGAGGACACUCGUUUGAGGACCACCAGGUGCACAUUUUAGACAGAGAAGAUGGAUGGUUUGAAAGAGGUGUCAAGGAAGCCAUCUACACCCGGGUUGAGAAGCCGUCGCUUAACAGAAGAGGGGGUCUAAGCCACCACUUAUCCCCCACUUACAAUGUGGUCCUUUCAUCACUUCCCAGGAAACUGAACAAACGUAACCUAUUGGCCUCAGGUGUUUCUGGCUCUGGAGCUGUGGAGCCUGGAUCUGUGGUUGCGAGUCACCUGCUGCCCCCAUGUUCCUGUGCGACACCCUCUGUUACGAUUAUUGUUACUAGUCCUAUUACUAUUAUCAUUGCAAAUAUUAUCAUAAACAUUGCUAUGAAUAUCUGUACCAUUAUUCGCUCUGUCUAUGGCAACAUUGCCGCUACUGUCUGUACCUCUGUGUGUAUAUUGUGUAGGCUGCUCCUCUCUCCCUCCCUCCCUCUCUCCGGCUCUCUCUCUUUCUCUCGCCCCCAACCGGUUGAGGCAGAUGGCCACCCACCCUGAGCCAUGGUUCUGCUCAAGGUUUCUGCCUCUUAAAAGGAACCUUGCCUCUGUAGCCUAGUGCUUGCAUUGUUGGGUUUCUGUAAAUAACAUCAGAGAGUACGGUCUAGACCUGCUCUUGAUGAAAAGUGCUGUGAGAUAAGUGUUGUUGUGAUUUGGAGCUAUAUAAAUAAAAUUGAAUAGA